rnacentral:rRNA from 1 species
GACGAACGCUGGCGGCGUGCUUAACACAUGCAAGUCGAACGGACAGGCCCGGCGUUUGUGGGGUGCACGAUUGGCGAAGGGGGGAGUAACACGUGAGUAACAUGCCCUUGACUGUGGGAUAACAUCAGGAGAAUGGGGCUAAUACAGGAUAGGAGCUCCUGCUGCGUGGGGGGGGUUGGAAAGUUUCGGCGGUUGGGGCUGGACUCGCGGCUUAUCCGCUUGUUGGUGGGGUAGUGGCUUACCAAGGCUGUGACGGGUAGCCGGCCUGAGAGGGUGACCGGCCACCUUGGUCCUGAGAUACGGCCCAGACGCCUACGGGCGGCAGCAGUGGGGAAUAUUGCACAAUGGGCGGGAGCCUGAUGCAGCAACGCCGCGUGCGGGAUGACCGCCUUCGGGUUGUAAACCGCUUUCGCCUGUGACGAAGCGUGAGUGACGGUAAUGGGUAAAGAAGCACCGGCUAACUACGUG